UACGAAGGGUGCAAGCGUUACUCGGAAUUACUGGCGUAAAGCGUGCGUAGGUGGUUUGUUAAGUCUGUUGUGAAAGCCCCGGGCUCAACCUGGGAAUGGCAAUGGAUACUGGCAGGCUAGAGUGCGGUAGAGGGUAGUGGAAUUCCCGGUGUAGCGGUGAAAUGCGUAGAGAUCGGGAGGAACACCAGUGGCGAAGGCGGCUACCUGGACCAGCACUGACACUGAGGCACGAAGCGUGGGGAGCAAACAGG
rnacentral:rRNA from 1 species